rnacentral:rRNA from 1 species
UUAACGGAGAGUUUGAUUCUGGCUCAGAACGAACGCUGGCGGCGUGGAUAAGACAUGCAAGUCGAGCGAGAUUUUUUCCUGUAGCAAUACAGGGAAAAGUCUAGCGGCGAACGGGUGCUUAACACGUGGGCAAUCUGUCUUAAAGUGGGGGAUAGCUCGGCGAAAGCCGAAUUAAUACCGCAUGUGAUUAGAGUGGACAUCCAUUCGAAAUUAAAGUCGGGGCAACCUGACGCUUUUUGAGGAGCCCGCGGCCUAUCAGCUAGUUGGUGAGGUAACGGCUCACCAAGGCUUUGACGGGUAGCUGGUCUGAGAGGACGACCAGCCACACUGGGACUGAGACACGGCCCAGACACCUACGGGUGGCAGCAGUCGAGAAUUUUUCUCAAUGGGGGAAACCCUGAAGGAGCGACGCCGCGUGGAGGAUGAAGGUCUUCGGAUUGUAAACUCCUGUCAUUGGGGAACAAUGCGUGACGGUUAACUGCCGUCGCGUUGAUAGUACCCGAAGAGGAAGAGACGGCUAACUCUGUGCCAGCAGCCGCGGUAAUACAGAGGUCUCAAGCGUUGUUCGGAUUCAUUGGGCGUAAAGGGUGCGUAGGCGGCGCGGUAAGUCGGGUGUGAAAUCUCGGAGCUUAACUCCGAAACUGCAUUCGAUACUGCCGUGCUCGAGGACUGGAGAGGAGACUGGAAUUUACGGUGUAGCGGUGAAAUGCGUAGAUAUCGUAAGGAAGACCAGUGGCGAAGGCGGGUCUCUGGACAGUUCCUGACGCUGAGGCACGAAGGUCAGGGGAGCAAACGGGAUUAGAUACCCCGGUAGUCCUGACAGUAAACGGUGCACGUUUGGUGUGGGAGGAUUCGACCCCUUCUGCGCCGGAGCUAACGCGUUAAACGUGCCGCCUGGGGAGUACGGUCGCAAGAUUAAAACUCAAAGAAAUUGACGGGGGCCCGCACAAGCGGUGGAGUAUGUGGCUCAAUUCGAUGCA